ensembl:miRNA
CAAAGUUCGUUCGGGUUUUUCCUUAGUAUGUUACGGAAAAACCCGAACAAACUUUGU